GAUGAACGCUGGCGGCGUGCCUAAUACAUGCAAGUCGAGCGAACAGACGAGGAGCUUACUCCUCUGACGUUAGCGGCGGACGGGUGAGUAACACGUGGAUAACCUACCUAUAAGACUGGGAUAACUUCGGGAAACCGGAGCUAAUACCUGAUAACAUGUUGAACCGCAUGGUUCAACAGUGAAAGACGGUCUUGCUGUCACUUAUAGAUGGAUCCGCGUCGCAUUAGCUAGUUGGUAAGGUAACGGCUUACCAAGGCAACGAUGCGUAGCCGACCUGAGAGGGUGAUCGGCCACACUGGAACUGAGACACGGUCCAGACUCCUGCGGGAGGCAGCAGUAGGGAAUCUUCCGCAAUGGGCGAAAGCCUGACGGAGCAACGCCGCGUGAGUGAAGAAGGUCUUCGGAUCGUAAAACUCUGUUAUUAGGGAAGAACAAAUGUGUAAGUAACUAUGCACGUCUUGACGGUACCUAAUCAGAAAGCCACGGCUAACUACGUG
rnacentral:rRNA from 1 species